rnacentral:rRNA from 1 species
GAUGAACGCUGGCGGCGUGCUUAACACAUGCAAGUCGAACGAUGAAGCUCAGCUUGCUGGGUGGAUUAGUGGUGAACGGGUGAGUAACACGUGAGUAACCUGCCCUUAACUCUGGGAUAAGCCUGGGAAACUAGGUCUAAUACCGGAUAGGAGCGUCCACCGCAUGGUGGGUGUUGGAAAGAUUUAUCGGUUUUGGAUGGACUCGCGGCCUAUCAGCUUGUUGGUGAGGUAAUGGCUCACCAAGGCGACGACGGGUAGCCGGCCUGAGAGGGUGACCGGCCACACUGGGACUGAGACACGGCCCAGACUCCUACGGGAGGCAGCAGUGGGGAAUAUUGCACAAUGGGCGAAAGCCUGAUGCAGCGACGCCGCGUGAGGGAUGACGGCCUUCGGGUUGUAAACCUCUUUCAGUAGGGAAGAAGCGAAAGUGACGGUACCUGCAGAAGAAGCACCGGCUAACUACGUG